AAAAAAGGAAAAAAAAAUCAUAACCAAGUCAAUCCUU
rnacentral:sRNA from 1 species